AGAAACCACACAUUCACCUCCCCAAGAUCUUUGCUUUAGGCCCACUUCUCCAUCGCCGUGAGCUCAAGCACUGGAAAUCUCAGAUUUUGAUGACCAAGAUGCUUCAACCAGUCAAGAAGACUCCUUUAUCUCAAUCAAGUUUGAAGAGAAUGGCGUUUGUUCAUGGGAAAAAGGCGAAGUUUCAAAGGUUUCACUUGAGAAUUGCAGCAUGUCGUGGAACCCCACGUUGGACAAUAAGAGUGUGAUCGAGCAUCCGAAACCAGGAGGCUCGCUCCGGUGGCGAAAGCGGAUGGGCCACCUGUUUCAGCUCGUAAGGUGGAAGAGGUCCACCAGCAAGGCUGAGGGAGUCAAGGCCAUGAAGAAGAGCUGGAU